rnacentral:rRNA from 1 species
UGAACAACCUGCCCGAGCGAGGGGGAUAGCCGGCCCAACGGCCGGGUAAUACCGCAUAUGCUCACAGUGCCUUAUGGCGCAGCGAGGAAACCUUCGGGGCGCUCGGGAGGGGUUCGCGACCUAUCAGCUAGUUGGUGGGGUAAUGGCCUACCAAGGCAACGACGGGUAGCUGGUCUGAGAGGGCGAUCGGCCACACUGGGACUGAGACACGGCCCAGACUCCGUACGGGGAGCAGNAGGU